AGAUCGAACUAUAGAGUUUGAUCCUGGCUCAGAUUGAACGCUGGCGGCAUGCCUUACACAUGCAAGUCGAACGGCAGCACGGGAGCAAUCCUGGUGGCGAGUGGCGAACGGGUGAGUAAAGUAUCGGAACGUGCCCAGUCGUGGGGGAUAACGUAGCGAAAGCUACGCUAAUACCGCAUACGAUCUAUGGAUGAAAGCGGGGGAUCGCAAGACCUCGCGCGAUUGGAGCGGCCGAUAUCAGAUUAGGUAGUUGGUGGGGUAAAGGCCCACCAAGCCGACGAUCUGUAGCUGGUCUGAGAGGACGACCAGCCACACUGGGACUGAGACACGGCCCAGACUCCUACGGGAGGCAGCAGUGGCGAAUUUUGGACAAUGGGCGCAAGCCUGAUCCAGCCAUGCCGCGUGAGUGAAGAAGGCCUUCGGGUUGUAAAGCUCUUUCAGCCGGAAAGAAAUUGCUUCUAUUA
rnacentral:rRNA from 1 species